rnacentral:lncRNA from 1 species
GCGGACCUCGCGAGGUGCGGGGCAGAGCAAUCACGGCUCCAGACGGCGGGACCGCAGGGCCCUGCGUGGCCGCGAAUGAGUCGGGGAAUCAUGCCCCAACCCGGAGCGUGGCCGGGAGCGGGCUGCGCGGAGACGCCGGCGCGCGAGGCAGGGGCUGCGGCGCGGGACGGCGGGAAGGUGACGGUCGGCGCGCAGCCCCGGGCCGCGACGCGAUGCCCGGCCGAGCACGAGGAGGACAUGUACCGUGCUGCAGAUGAAAUAGAAAAGGAGAAAGAAUUGCUAAUACAUGAAAGAGGGAUAUCAGAACCCAGGUUAAGUGUGGCUCCUGAAAUGGAUAUUAUGGACUACUGCAAAAAGGAAUGGAGAGGAAAUACCGAGAAAGCCAUGUGCAUGAGAAAGGGCUAUGAGGAAGUUUCUCAGAAGUUCACUUCCAUAAGGCGAGUCCGUGGCGAUAAUUACUGUGCACUGCGGGCCACACUGUUCCAGGCUAUGAGCCAGCUGGCUGAGCUGCCCCCCUGGCUGCAGGACCUGGAGCUCAUACUGUUACCGGAAAAGCUGAUAAACAAAUAUACCUGGAUCAAGCAGUGGAAACUUGGACUGAAAUUUGAUGGGAAGAGUGAGGACCUGGUUGAA